UUACUACUCUGUCCUUUCGAUUUUCUAAACCUACAAAAUUCCCCAGAAAAUCACCCAAAAAAAAAAACUGCACUCUUCUUCUCAAUGCUAUUUUCUCUCUCUUCUUUCUCUCUCAUCUACCAGAGUUGAUGAGCAACAAGCAAGGUUAUUACUGCUAUGAUAAUUCAUCUAAAGAUUGUUUGACGAUGAGAGAGAGCACGCUUGUCAGCAUUCACGCACAUGCGUGCUGUCUCGCAUCGUUAUAUAAUCUAAAGAUGGAGGCAGUUCUUUUUUCUUCCGUCCUCAUACGCUUCGACAACAUGUCCACAUGGAAAGCUUGAUCAGGAAUUUCAUAGUGCUACUUUCUGAUCCGGGAAUGAUUAUAUCCACGGUUUGUCAUCUUCAUAUGAUUUGAAGGAUGAAGCACAAGAGUAUAAUACCCUAAUGUUUAUUGUUGAUUGUGUUUUUGCACCUUUUCUGAGGUAAACUUUGGCAUCCUGAUUCACACAGCAUGAUGGUGUUACUUUUAGCUGAUUACGCAGAUUCGGGAGAUAGGCCCGCCCGGAUUUGAAUGUGACUUGUGAGUACUACGACGGCUUAUUUGAGGAGUUUCUUCUCUUAAUUUGGUGUAAUUUUUGAAGUUACAACUUACAAGGGAUGCCUGAAGGUGGUGUACUAAACCAAGUCCCUCUCCCUUUUAAUUCCUCUUGAACACUUGCAUAUUUGGAUACGAGUUAUUUUAUAAACUGCAUUUUGUAUAUCUGUAACCUUCCAAGUCUUUUUUUUUUUGAAAAGUUCGAGUUUUCGAGGUGGUGUCUUCGUUGAAAAGAUGUCCUUCAUUUGAUAUUUUUCUGGGCAGUACAAGAAUCAAACUGGAGUACAUGUACAUAUUUGUUGUGUUAGUAAAUGGUAAUUAGGAACACUGUGUCAAUGCAAUAUUUUUUUUUAACAUUUUCACCUUUUUAUCCUUCUUGUAUGAAUAAGAAUAACUCCUGGAAUGUGUUAAUUCUUGGAUUUGAGAUAUUGUAUUCCUCAAUUAUUUUUGUUAGUAUAUAUAAUCUCUAUUUCUCUA